ACUGAAGGAAGGUCCUUCUGCAGAGGGAGCAGAAUGUGUCCUAACAUGCGUGUGUUUGUAAGAAGAGGGUUGGUGAUGUGAUCAAGCGUGAGCAAGAGAUGUGAACAUUCAGGGUUAAUACACUGUGGCCAUGUCAUAAGAGCAUGUCUGCUAAGUGUUUCUAGCAAGACAUCUUGAAAUGCUGCCAGAGACCUGGAGAUCUGCAUACCUUGCUUUUAACACAGAGUGACAGCUUUGAAUCACACAUUGUGCCACUGCACAGCCAGGACUGUAAAUGCCAAAUUUUAAUUAUCAAGUAUAUUCAUAAUUCAUUAAUAGGAGGUA